GGAGUGUUGUGGUGGAAAAUUAGUCUAAGAGGAAAUGUGCAGAACAGCCAAGGGAGCCUCUGGGAACAGUCAAAGCGGGUGAAGCCGAAAGGCUCCUGAUAUUCCUUCAGGACACUCUGUACUGCUCCCCUGAGCCAUCACUUCACAAAACACGGUCUCUGCUUUCUUCUACUUCACAUUUUAUGAUCUGCCUGCAGAGAGAACACACUCAUCUCUGUCCUUCCUUCCUUUCCAGUGGAGAGAUCUACAGCCUUCACUACUGCCUGUGACUGGAUGAGUGAUCCUGAGUUCGUCUACAAAGUGGCACAUGGGCAUCACACAGCUGUGCCAAGGGUGUAAUGACUCUGACACAGACAUUAGCGUCUGACUUUCCACAGGCUUGUGUUUAGAAGACAGAACUGGACGAGUUGGUAGAAUUUACUCUUGAAUGAAGGAUGGAACUGGCUUGUAUUUAUAAAACAGAACUGGACUAGUUGGUAGCAUUUACUCUUGAAUGAAGGCUGGAACUGGAGCUGACUCCCUUGCUGGACUGCAAUCUCCAUGAGAGCCAUGUCUGUCUUGCCUGCCGCUGUCGUAGAUAAAGAUCUACCACAAGGCCCCAUCAACCCUUUAAAUGCAUCAAGAACAUCCUGACCCAGGAGCAACAAAACACUUUGGACCAGUAAGUAACCUUUUUGGAGUAAAUGUUCUGCAAUUUGGGAUUUGCAAAUCUCUGAAUUUGAUAUCGGUCCUCUAUUACCUGAAGAUUUUCUCUGGUUUGAUGCUGGCUUCACUCCUUGUCUCUCUGGUUUCCUGGUUUAUUCCAUGUUGGUUCUCCGAAUACUUGUGUUUGCUCAUCUGUUGAGCUGCAUUUUGGACCUGGGUGCAAGCCUUCU